rnacentral:rRNA from 1 species
UGGGGAAUAUUGCACAAUGGGCGCAAGCCUGAUGCAGCCAUGCCGCGUGUGUGAAGAAGGCCUUCGGGUUGUAAAGCACUUUCAGCGGGGAGGAAGGCGUUAAGGUUAAUAACCUUGGCGAUUGACGGUACCCGCAGAAGAAGCACCGGCUAACUCCGUGCCAGCAGCCGCGGUAAUACGGAGGGUGCAAGCGUUAAUCGGAAUUACUGGGCGUAAAGCGCACGCAGGCGGUCUGUCAAGUCGGAUGUGAAAUCCCCGGGCUCAACCUGGGAACUGCAUUCGAAACUGGCAGGCUAGAGUCUUGUAGAGGGGGGUAGAAUUCCAGGUGUAGCGGUGAAAUGCGUAGAGAUCUGGAGGAAUACCGGUGGCGAAGGCGGCCCCCUGGACAAAGACUGACGCUCAGGUGCGAAAGCGUGGGGAGCAAACAGG